rnacentral:tRNA from 1 species
GGGGUUGUGGCUCAGAGGUAGAGCACUCGCCUAGCAUGUGUGAGGCACUGGGUUUGAAUCUCAGCACCUUA